AGAUUACCAUGAGCUCAUUAAAGUGCACGAACCCUCUGUUGGGCUUUUUACUGCAUGAAAACAAUUGAUUACUUAAAAAACGGUCCCACCCUUUCCUAAAAGCACACGAGUGUGUAUAUAGGCUGCUACCAACAGCUCACAUACACCCUGAAUAGGAAGCACAUCUCUCUGACGGACACAAUCUUUUUUUUGAAGGAGGAUAUCGCUUGCUGGACUUACAGAAGUGCAACAAGAUCGGUCAUUGUUAUCUGUGGAGAAACAUGGGAAACGAGAACUCCAAGAACAAAGAACUGCAGAACAGGAACGGCAGGAUUCCUGAGAAGCAUAUAAAUGGAUCAGCGAACGGCCUCUCUGCGAACCUCUCAUCUAACGGCUUGGAGAUUUCUGCUAACGGUGAGGCCGCAGUCCAGAAGAAUGGCGAGUCCUCUUCUUUAAAGCGUGCGACUGAACCAAAUGAUUUUGUCGUUGUGGAAUUAGACGGUAAAGCUGCUGACGCUCCAGUUAUUUCUGAAAUCCUUGAAAUCGUCAUCCACAAGGAAGAGGUCAGGGAAAGUGAAGGAGAUCAAACGGAUGUUAGUCUCCCUGCCACCAAUCUACAGACGGUGAGUACACUUUUCCUUGUUUGAAGGGUGAAUUCCAUAUUUGUCUCGUUGGCAACAAAUUCUAUGAAAAGAUUAAAAAAGCAAGUGUUGUCUGAGUUGCUUGGAUGCCUUGUUUAUUUGGACUCUACACACGUUCUACUGACAAAUAAGAGUUUAUCCACGACUGGAAAAGAAAUCCAGUUGUUACUCCUUGAGCAGUGUUACACAAAAACUAAAUGGCGCAGCAUUUUCAGAAAAUUAUUUAGCUGUUUUUAAAAAAUUGAACUGCAUAUUUUUGAGCCAAGUAGAAAGCUUUCCAUUUUUGAUAAAAGAUCAGAGACACGAUUAGAAGGGAAAUCAGCUCCUAUUAAGUAAAGGGACUGCAUUGAAGGAUUUGUUCACACAGGUUAAGCUAGAAUAAAUCCAGUCCAAUAUUUGAAGGUUUUCCAAUUUACAGAAAAAUCUGCAUGUCAGACUACCUCACAUGAAUUUAACGUCUCAAUUAAGCCAAAAUACAAAUUAAAAAAAAGAAAAAAAUAACCUAAUUUCUUUACUUAAUUGUUCUCAGUCACAAGGUAAUGAAACACAGGGUUGUCAUAUGUGUCCCGUAAUCAAAAACACAGUUGUUUUUUUAAAAAUCUAAACGCAAAUGGUUUUUUAUGAUCAAGGAGUCAACCUCAAGUGGAGAAGAAGCAGCCGCAGCGAUGAUCGCUGUGCACCUAGACAGCGUAGAGUGUCCGCUUCGAAAAGCUGAAACAUCAACACAAACAGACGGGACAACUGAGGCAGAUAUCUCGACACAAACGUAUAAGAACGAGGAAGUCGCAACCACCGAUAACGAGGUUCCUGUUGAAGAAGCAGUCUCCAUGGAGACUGGAUCAACUGAAGAAGACCCUCUAAAUGUGUCGGCCCGCGUCAUUGUUCAGGAUGACGGGGAGUCCUCCGACAACCAGGCCGCUCGGACCAUCAAUGAGGGGGUGGUCAUGUAUGAAAAUAUGGUGUUCAGACUGGAACGGGCAGAACUUGAUGGAACUGAGUCAAACAUCACUGCAGAACCAGGUUUUAACCCAAAAGUAUCCGAGAUUGAAGAGGAAACAGUUGCAGAGGAAAAUAACAUUGGAGAAACAUCGGCAUCGGAGGUCUAUUACAGCUUUCCUAAAGUGGUGGCAGAUUGUGUUGAGGUGGUUUUUGCGGAUGCGCCUCAGUCCACCGGCUUUGCUGCUGUGGACUCGUCAGUGCUUGCAGACGGAGUAGCUACUGGAGACAAUGGCGAAGGAGCUGGACACACGUCAGUCGAUGCCGUGCAGACUGAAACCGCCAAACAUCAGUCCACUGAGGCCCGGAAAGCAAAUGCCGUUCGUUCCUCAGCCACCGCGCUGAUGGAGACAAUCUCUGAGGUUGUUUGCGAGGCACCUGAUCCCGCACCAGCAGACCACGAUGCGCCCGCAGAGCAUUCUUCUGCCCGUCUUGCAGUAGCACUUCUAGUUAAGGCAGAAUCUGCCCAUGAGGAGGUCACCGCUGAUGAUGCUGUUGCAACGGAGAUUGUACCAGAAACACCUCAACAAGCAAAACUGGACGACGAGCCCUCAGAGAAGUGCGAUAGUUGCCCUGAGCAUGACAUCAUCACUGCAGAGGCUCCCAAUAAGCCUGCCAUCAUUGAGGAGCUUCCCGUGGAACCAGAAAGAUAUGAAGAAGCAGAACCAAGUCCCGUACUUGCCAAAGACAGUGCUGAGGCAAUGUGGGAAGCGGCAAUCAAUGCCCUCUCUGAAGACUUCAGAGAAGAAUCUAGCAGCCUGCCUCGGGAGGCUGCAGCGGCCAAAGGCUUACCUCUGAUAGAGGAGGUGAUCACCGCGUCAACUUUUGCAGGCCUUCCAGGGGGCCAAGAAGCAAGCAUUGCUGUUGCAGAGGAGCUUUUUAAGAGGGUCACUGCAGAGGCUUUAUCAAAUGCAACUGAAACAGUAGCAGAAGACGCCACAAACACUGGUGAGGAGCCUGCAGAUGUGCCGCCGAUGGACGCCACGGGAGAGCCCGAGCUUUGCGUUUCGGUCCAAGAGAGACUCAGAGACGAGAACGUCGCCCCGGCAGAAGUACCAGCCAAUUCCAGGAGUUUGAGCCAUCUCGAGCGCCGACCAAAGUCCAGCGCGCAGAUCGUCGCCAUGGAGACAAUUGAAGACGGGGCUGUGAGACAGAUAAUGCAUGAAACAGAUACUUCUGCGGUGGAUGUCUCCCAGAUUACCACUUUGGAUGAGGCUAUGUCAGAGAGUUUCGACGCUGUCCUUGAGGCCAUUGUGGAAGAAAUCAUUAACGAGGACGUCUUCUCAGCUGACGGCCGCCUCGUGACUUCAGACGAGGUGUCACCAGAGGCCUUUGUAGAGGAAGACGCUGAAGAGGAUGCAGAGAAGGAAUCAAGUGUGAACUCAUCAGAUCCAACAGUGGACUCACAAAGUGUCACAAGAACAGACAUGGAAGCUUUAGCUGUUAGUUUGCAGUCGGCGUGUAAAUCAGUUGUUGAAGAAUCGACAAAUAGGCCUGGUAGUUUAAUGCUUCCUUCACUAGGAUACAGUAUCACGGUUACUGUUCAUGUGGCGCCAAAGCAGUAAAAUCCUUGUCUGAACUUUUUUGUUGAAAAUGAUUGGUCUGCCUCCAGGAUGUAAUGUGUUAAAUGAUUGAUGCGAAAGUAAUUACAACCCAAUUGUAAAAUUAUUUGUGUUUUAUCAUAACAAGCAAGUCCCUCUGUUUUUUUAUGCUUUAUUAACACUUGCUGAUUUUCCAAUAAAAUGAAAAAUGAAACCGUUCAUGAUUUUCUUCAUCAUCUGUUUGCAUUCCUUUGGUCGGUGUCAGGUGACAAAUAAUACCUACUUUCAAAAAAGUAGGGCCACUAAUGACUUUGAAAAACAAUGAAUUAGACAUUUGAACGUUAGCAGAUUCACUAAUGAUCUUUAAAUCAGAGUUGGUCAACGAUAACCCAGCAUCAAAACCCAGCAAAGGUAUUUGCGUUUCCUGACAUUCUUUUCUCCGGGCAAAACUCUCACACAUUGUUGAAUAUCAAUGAGUGAGGGGUGGGACACACGCAUUGAUAAAAGGCCGAUUGUUGACAGUGCCCCGAGUAGGCAGAGGCAUGGUUGGAAUUGUGUACUCCCAUCUCAAUGCUGCGAUUAAGACCCUCACUGCUUGCAUUAUAAGCCACGCUGCUCUAACGCAAUACUCAAAGGCUAAUUCUUUGUGAUGGUGUAUAGGAGACAGCUAAGCAAAAGCAAGGGUCAGAAUCAUUGACGGAGCCAGAGAGUGUGACUCUAGACUCUGACGAGGGAAACCAGGAGGACAAUAACCCAGAAGAGAAUCCAGUUAUGAACUUCUUCAAAUCUCUAGUAAGUGACACAAUUUCAGAAUUAUGUGUGGUUUGUAUGCACUUUGUAUUUCUUAUUGCUUGUAAAAUUAGAUUCCGGGGAGUAAAUUGAAUAAUAAUUGCUUUGAUCAGACGUUUAAAAAAAACAAUCCACCUUUAUUAAAACCAGCUAUUACAGAAGGAAGACGACCGCUAAACAACGAUUACGUUAACUGGUGUUUGAAUUUUUACUGCAGAAAUUCAUGAAAACCCGUUGCUUUAACAGGUUUUCAACUCUUUUUCUUAAUAUUGUUAUUGUUGUUGAGGUAUAUAUAUAUAUAUAUAUAUAUGUUUAUUAAAAAAAAUGUUUAUGGCAGCAAAGGUAUCCAUGGCAAAAUGUGCAAUGACCACAGCGCCUGAUGGAGAAGCAUACAAGCAGCUAUUGUUUUGGCUCUUCAUAGUGCCGUCUUUGGGAUCCAUGCUGUUUUAAAGAGUUACCAUCGCACUAGCCCCAUGCUAAUCGAGUCUCUGAACAUGCGGGAAUGUGGGGGCCUAUUGUUCGGCCCAUCGCGUGAGCUCACAAGGGACGCCUGUGCGUUUGGACGUUGAGAUUUGUGAGGAUGGAGCGAGGGCAGGCCUACGCCGUCCCCGGAGCACAAUGGCUAUCACAAUGACAGCGCACGUACUGUAUGUGCUCUGUCGGGGGACCUCAGGGUGCCUCAGUCAGCUUAUCAUAAAGGCCCAUGUCUGCAUUCGCGCUGAUCCUGUUUUACACUGCAGCUCGACGCUUUCGUCAAAUUGAGAUUCAACGUAUUGUGUGACGUGAAUACAAGUGAUUUAAGGCGGUUAAUUGUUCUUUCCUUGUUGUACAGACGACUUCCAAAAUAACCAAAAAGGAAACAGCUGCUCCUGUUGCCAUAAAAGACCAGGUGACGCAGAUGUUUAUGAAGGAUUGUGUGAUUUUAAAUGAUUCAUUCAUUAUGACAGUACCACCAGGGGAUUUCCCAGCAGAGUUCCCAGUUAUAAGUUUCAAUAACCAGUUUUAUAUCACAAAUGUUUUUGUUAACAAAGCCAGAUCAGUGAGCUCAGUAAUGUAAUGGUUGAUUAUGUGUUGAAAUCAUUUUUUGCCACAUGCCUUGUAUGAAUUUAUGUUUGAUUUCUCUGAUGCCCAAAAACAUUUAACCAGUAGCUUCUCCAAACUAUUUAUAGGACAUUACAAGCUUUUUUGCAUGUUUUUUUUUGCAUACGUUUAACGUUAUUUCUCACUGCUUCCCUUUUUCUGUUGCAAAAUAGUCCCAGAAGGAGAACCAACCAGCAGCAACCACUACCGUGAGCUCAUUGCCCAAAUAGUGUUUUAUUUCCCUAAAAAGCAUAUGUUUGUCGGGCCAUAUUGGUUUCAGUUUAGUUUCAGAAAUUCUACUUUAUUUUCUAAUGUUGCAUACUAAUUCAAUUUGUGAUAGUUUAUGUUGGAUGAAUACUUAGUUGCUAAACCGAAUCAAUCACUGCUUUGUCAUUGUGUAACAGGCGUAUAGUGUUAAAGGUGACUCCGUGCAUUACUUUAACAACCUCUCUCUCUUGAAUAGGUCGCACAAGUAUCUGAGCCGCCUGCAGCGCCCAAAGGAAUGUCUAUCCCACCGCCACCUCCUCCAGAGCCACCAAAAAUGGAUAUCAAGGCAGAACCAGCUGCUAAACCUGUCAAGGCCACACCAAGAGAAGAAGCAAAAGCUGUUGCCAAGCAACCCCAGUCCUCCAAAGGAAAAUCAGCAACUCUAAGCAAAUUUUUCCGUUCAAAGGUAAAUUAACAGCGAAGACAAGACAAGAUGGUGUAGGUGAUUCAUGGAGACUUUCAGUGAGUCCACGGAGAAAUCUGAUUAUAACAGAAAUAUAUGUGAAUAUGAGGUACUGCUACGUGACGAGACAUGUGAGGUCCAGGGUGCUUCAGCAUGUGGAGACAAUGCCCCCUCAAGUUGCCAGCAGUGGUACAGUGUCACAUUAUUAUAUUCUCAAAGUGGCCGUGGCUCAUCCUGUUACUUACUGAACAAGAGCUGGUUUGUCUGGAAGAGGCUGAAACAGGACAACUUGCUGUUUCCAUAUCGGAACCUGCAGCGAUCGUGUCAGCUGAUAUGCACAUAGUUUUGAACCAUAUCCAGGCCAAUCAGAUUUUUGUUCUUUGCAAGUCUUUCAAAAUGUUGACUUUGCAGCCAGUUCCUCGGUCAAACGGCCUCGCCUUAGUGCAGCUGUUUCUACCACAGACCAUUUUUCCAUAAUACUUUAUGUUCCCAACAUUUAAAUUGCAUUAGUGAAUUAAUCAGUAACAUUGUGUUUCGUUUUGGGACGUACAACUAUCUGGCUUACUUGCCAAGAGUUUAGACGAGGGGAUCAAUACCACCAUCGUUUCUGUAAGCUAAGUAUGGAGUUAGAAUCGGACAAUUGGCCGAGAACAAAGGCUCUUUGUGUGCUUUGGAAGGAGCAGUACUGUCUUCCAGUAUUUAUGCUGUGCUAAGUUACGGUCAUGAGAAAGGUUUUGACCUGCCAACUUUUGGUGAAGUAUAAUAUUUUCCACAAAAAUGUCACAUUAUUCCUUUAACCAAUUCUUAUUAGUUAGCGUCCAUUGUCAGGCUAACAUUCAAAUUACAACAUGCAAACAUUUCUUUUCCUUUUCGGUUCUGUUGGCUUUUUACUAACAAUAACAUUUCCCCCACCGUCCUGCAGACAAACAAGGAGUCCCCACCAAAGCCAGACAUUGAAGUAGACGUACAACAAGUUGUAGAAGUAGAGGUAAUCCAGAGAGCAUGCCCAAUCUUCUCAGAUGUAUUCAUGGCUUGCUAAUGUGUUUAAUGCACGAGUGCAGUGGUUCUUGUUUUGAAUCAUCUUAUAAUUGGUUACAUUUGCGGUCAGAAAAUUCGGCCAGAUUAAGUACAUUUCAGCAUGUUUCCUUGUCCAUUUUACUUUGCAUCUCAGAAUAAAAAAGUAGCUUUGUUCUGCAGGAGACACCAGUGGAAGCUCCUGAGCCAGUUGUUUUAGAAGUCAAGGUAAAUCGAAGGACAGUUGUUCAUUUGGGGCUUAAGUCUUUUAUGAGGGGUAGAUUAUGUGAUUAUCUUGGCAUCACCAUGUACUACACUGCAAAAAAAAAUUGCAUUCCAUGAAAUUGACAUAUUGUUGUUCAUCUGCAUUUGCUCAGAGUGAAAAUAAUGUUGACCCCCAUGACUCAGCAGAGCAGGUGGCCCAGCCUGUUGUACAAGAGCAGGUAAAUUUCUGUUGCAUUUCAUGCACCAUGCAAAAAAGGGAAAUAAAUAAUUCCCCUUUCGUGCAGAUGGUAGCAGAUGUACCACAGCCCGUGGUAGCGGCGGAGAUAAAUCAACAGUUUGGGAUCUUCUGCUUUCAUGCUUCCUUGUCGAGAGUUAGAUGAGAAGAACGCUCUCAUCUGCCUCUGUUAAAUUUGAGGCGUCAGCUAGUAGCAGAUUAGAUUAGAUUAGUUUAGUUUAGCACAGAGGCUUAAAUGUGCCUGUCUGUUAAACAGCAUUGCUCUGUCCGAUGCUGAAAAGAUUCACUUAUUGGCAGUUUUUAAGCUAUUUUUUGUUGGAUAAACAAAUUAAAUGGUUUAUUAGUGUUAAAGAGAAACAAAUGGUAACUUUUGCAUGGAGCCCAAAGAUGGUUUUAAGCUGUUUCAAUUCCUAAUGAAACUUCAAGUCAAAAGUCUCCUGCAUCAUACAGCAUAGGAAAGAUAUUAAAAACGGUCUUCUCAUCACUUGGCAAUAAAGCAAAUUCCCUCAUUUCCCUAUGGGUCAAUCAUUCAAGGGAGGAAUCUUCAGUGGAGACAUUCACUUUACUAUUUCCUUUUAUUUCUUCCCUUGCAAGCAGUAAUAUUAUAUACCUAUGUGCAUGAUUCUGCGGAUCUCUACACUUACAGAUUCUUUCACCUCCUUUCUGCUCUGACUCUGCCUGGAAUCUCUGCCCUUACCUCUUCGUUUUUUCACAGGUGGCAAAUGCUUCCCCGUACUCCGUCCGCCUCAAUGCUGGUCCUAACGCUUCCGUACCUCAUGUGUAUUUUCUUUUCUGCUGUUUUGAUAAAAGAAGGUGGAUUCUUCAAAAGCUGGCACUUUGGAGGCUGCAGCGAAACCAGAACCGCCGCCGCCUGUGCAGGAAGCACAGAAAACUGCCUCAACAUCCUCCUUCUUUUCUCUCUUCAAGCCUAAAGUCCUAUUAGACCACAUGACCACAAAAGUCCAGGCGGCCUCCACAAGUGGAGUUCGUCUCCUCGGGAGAACAACUGGAGUGGCCGCUGAUCCCAAAAAGGCGAGUCCUGCCCCGGCUGCAGCCCCAGAGACAGUGAAAGCCAAGGAGGAACCCAAAGCAGCAGCCAAGUUAUCCGAGGCCGUGGUAGAUAAUAAACCUGCUUCAGUGGCCUCCCAGGCCGCAGGUGAUGCAGCCAAGGCGCCAAAGAAACUGGAGAAGAGGAACUCCAUCCAUCAGUUCUUUAAAAUUCUGGGCCAGAAGCGUAACUCGACAGAUGCCGGGAUCCAGACAGAGACGCUCGCUGUCGCUCCGGUACCCGAGAAGGUCAAAUGAAACCAAAAGCGAGAGUGAAGUUUCCCUGUACAGACUCCUUCUCUUUUUCUUGCCCUUACUCGGUUUUCAUGUGCCUCAUCUGUCUCAUUAUUCUUUAAACUCUUAUAGAAUUGCUUUAACUACAUUUUGAUUUUGUUAUUGUUCAUAAGUUACAAUACGCACGGAAUAGUGAGCGGAAAGGCAAAGGCAAGUAGUGAGAAAGACACACAGCAGGUAGUUGCACAAGUGGUGAUUUGAAAUGGUCCAUGGUGAGGUUGUUGAGAUAUUUACAGUAUAUACAGUACAUAUUGUGUUUGGACCCUGUGCCUUGACAAGUAUAGCAAAAUCAGUGUGAAAUCUUUUCUACAGACAUUUAAUGUAACUUCUCUCUGUUCUUGCACAUGAAACAGAAGGUAAAAGGCAUCGCUUUUAGCUUUGUGUUUGUCAAAAAAAAACAUUUAAAAAAGGUUCUAUUUUUUACAGUUCACACAAAAGAAAAUCACGCAGCUGUGGCCGUGCAGAGGUUCCCACGAAAUUGCAUCGCACUUAAAUCCAUAUGUGAUAUAUUAACAUUAACAGCUCUGAAAAGAGCAAAUAAGAAGAGCAUCUUAGUGUAACAAGAAGCACUUAGCAGUCAAGUAUCUGUAUCGAGGGUGAUGGGGAACUGGCUAUAUGCGUAAAAAAAUGCAUCUGAGAGAUGUGUCUUUGUGCUACGUUUUUACUAAUGACUCACAGUUGAUUAGUUUUACAUUUGAACUUUGUCUCAUGUAACUCAGUGGAAGUCUUGUAGCGUCAGUCAGCAAUUAACAUCACGCUUUUGGUGGCCUUGCUUGAUGUAUGCAUGUGUGUGCGUGUGUGUAACUUCAGCUAUCCUGAAGACAAUAAACCUGUUUAUCAUUCGUUGUAUCUUCAUGUGUGUACGCGGCAACUGAGAAACCCCGUGAAGAAUAACCGGCUGUUGCAUUCGGCAUCUGCCAAAAUAUGCACCUCAGUAAGUUUGGCAAAAAAAAAUAAAAAAUCACACAUCAAAUCUUAUAAUAAAUAUUUUAAUUCACACUAAACUAAACUCAUAAGGCGUGACACAUGAGUCCUACCUUGGGCGUCGGUGGAAAUACUGCCAGCCUUACUCACCCAUGGGUUUAUUUUGUUGGCUGAAAAACAAGUGACGGUGAUGACGGGCAGGGCCGUACAAACCAAAACUCACCUCAGAGCCGCCCGCCGUCCGCCCGCCCGCCUGAUGGACGGAGAGCCGUCUGCGGUCCGUCACUACCAAAUAUUACAUUCAGAGACACCUUAGAGAUAAAAAGAUGUUAAACGAGAUCUAAGGAAUUGUUUCAGGUAAAGCAAAGCCUCCCAUACUCUAUUUUCAUUUAUGAGGUAAUUCCAAUGAUGGAGGAUGUGUUUUAAAUAGUAUUAUGUCAUGAGUCGCGGCCCCCUUAAAGGCAUAACUCACGCUGCACCUUUAUUAUCAACGAAACGCACUCUUUUUGCGUUACCCUCUGUGAUGGUUGUGAUCAUUUUAAAUUGUGCAUCAAAGUAAUUGACAUGGCACUUAAGGGGAAACAGUGAGGUAUUGCCUGCACAGUUUAAUCCAUGUGGUCAAGUCCUCUCCUCUGGGGAUUGUUAAGAGGAAUAUGUGACUCUUUGCCAACUGUAUUGCUGUACAGUGUGAAGUUCACCACUAACUACCAUUCUCCUAAAAUAAAACACUGGAC
ensembl:lncRNA